rnacentral:misc_RNA from 1 species
UCCGAGUUGACCCCGGCAGUCUCCCUAGAGUGCCCAACUGAAUGGUGGCAACUAAGGACGAGGGUUGCGCUCGUUGCGGGACUUAACCCAACAUCUCACGACACGAGCUGACGACAGCCAUGCAGCACCUGUCUCAUGGUUCCUUACGGCACUCCCACCUCUCAGCGGACUUCCUGGCAUGUCAAGGGUAGGUAAGGUUCUUCGCGUUGCAUCGAAUUAAUCCACAUCAUCCACCGCUUGUGCGGGUCCCCGUCAAUUCCUUUGAGUUUUAACCUUGCGGCCGUACUCCCCAGGCGGUCAACUUCACGCGUUAGCUUCGUUACUAAUGGGUUUAACCCCACCAACAACCAGUUGACAUCGUUUAGGGCGUGGACUAC